CAGCCGCCACGGUAAUACAGAGGGUGCGAGCGUUAAUCGGAUUUACUGGGCGUAAAGCGUGCGUAGGCGGCUUUUUAAGUCGGAUGUGAAAUCCCUGAGCUUAACUUAGGAAUUGCAUUCGAUACUGGGAAGCUAGAGUAUGGGAGAGGAUGGUAGAAUUCCAGGUGUAGCGGUGAAAUGCGUAGAGAUCUGGAGGAAUACCGAUGGCGAAGGCAGCCAUCUGGCCUAAUACUGACGCUGAGGUACGAAAGCAUGGGGAGCAAACAGGAUUAGAGACCCCUGUAUCCCUGUCUCUUAUACA
rnacentral:rRNA from 1 species